rnacentral:rRNA from 1 species
GAUGAACGCUGGCGGCGUGCCUAAUACAUGCAAGUCGAGCGAACAGACGAGGAGCUUGCUCCUCUGACGUUAGCGGCGGACGGGUGAGUAACACGUGGAUAACCUACCUAUAAGACUGGGAUAACUUCGGGAAACCGGAGCUAAUACCGGAUAAUAUAUUGAACCGCAUGGUUCAAUAGUGAAAGACGGUUUUGCUGUCACUUAUAGAUGGAUCCGCGCCGCAUUAGCUAGUUGGUAAGGUAACGGCUUACCAAGGCAAGGAUGCUUAGCCGACUUGAGAGGGUCAUCGUCCCUCCAGGAACUGAAGGCUGGUCCAGACCCCCACGGGAGGGAGCAGCAGGCAAUCUUACGCAAGGGCCCAAAGCCUGACGGAGCAACGCGGGUGGGGUGAUGAAGGUCUUCGGAUCGUAAAAUUCUGUUAUUAGGGAAGAAGAAAUGUGUAAGUAACUAUGCGCAUCAUGACGGUACUUAAUCAGAAAGCCACGGCUAACGACGGG